CUUGCAGCCUGAAAACCAGCCUCUAAAUUUGAACAGGAGGGAGACAAGGUGACUGAGCAGACUUUUCUUGCUGCUCUCUCCCUGUCUCUCUCCAUUAUGUUCUUUUUCUCCUCCUCUCCCAGUAGUCAGUGAGUGUGUGUGUGUUUUUUUUGGGGGGGGGGGGGGUUUGCAUUGGAAGAGCGAAGAGGAGGUGCAGAUUUCGGCUCGUGAAAAGGGGAAGUAAAGAGGAAGGGAAGAAGAAGAAGAGGAGGAGGAUGAGGGGGGAAAAGGCAAGAGGGAAAGACUCCCCCCCCCAGCCCCCAGCCCCCAUCUCUCUAUUCCUCACCCUCAUUCCCUCCACUGCCAAAGACUUUUUGCCUCGGAAGCAGCGGCGGGACCAACUUCAAAAAGCCAGUGAGGAGGGAGCUGGAGUGUGAAAUCUGAGAGCAGGAGCCGGUCGGGAGGCUGACCGGCGCUCGGUGUGCUGUGCUGUCCAGGUCAGUGCCCGGGAAAGACCAAAACAAUUGCUCACUCUUUUUUUUUCUCCCCUUUGACUUGGUUCUUUUUAACUGCCUCCCAGCUCUCGUUCAGCCUGUGCACAUUCUGCACGCCGUCCCCCUUUUGCCUCGUGCUUGUCUUGUGACCGAAAAGCAACGACAGCUGUGUGUGCCGGCGUGGAAUUGUGUCGACGAGACGGGGUGACACGGUGAACGCGACGCCGUGCAUCACAUCGCGCCUCCUCCUCAGCACCGUCCCGACUCUCACGCUGCGGCCGAGGCAGAGUGAGAGCGCCGAGCCUCCAGCUGCUCCCAUCGAGCCCUGCGUGUGGAAACCGCGCGGCCGGUCAGCUCAGACGUUCACGUGUGCCGGGGCUCGAUGGAUGCUGACACGUGGUCACGCAAAAAAAGGUUUGUCCCUUUCGAAUUGAUACAGCAGAAGAGACGGCAUUUUUUACUGUGGCUACAGCAGUGUUUCCAGCUGAUCAGGAAUCAUCUAGGAGCUGCCAGGACAGAGAGUACCAAUGACACCUGGCAUUGAUCUCAGUGACUGCGGCCGAUCUUGCUGCUGAAAGCUGAAGGCCUGUAAUGGGAUACACAGAAGGUCUCUGUUGCCUUUUGAUAUGGAUGCGACACCUGCAGCAAAGUCAGCCUUGACAGCUUGCACGUGACCCACCAUCAUGUAGGCGUUCAACUUUGAAGAGAGCCAGGUAUUGAUGACUGGAGGCCGAGGCAGAGCAGGUCCGCUCUUCUUCCCCGGCAGGCCUCCGUAUCAGUUUUGUAAAGACCGGCUGGAAAUCCCCCGAUGAAUCGACAUUUAACACUUUCCUGCCACGUCAACCAAAAAAAGCUGCAAAUGUUUUUGUUGGACAUUUGAAGGGAAUGUCUUAAGCAUGUUGGCUACAGCCACCAUGCUACAUAUAAAUUUGUUUAUUUUUUUUUGCUUCAACAGCCUUGGUGCCAUGUCGCUGGGCAGAUGACAGAGAUUAGAUUUGUGGGGGUUCCAAGUUGGUUUCUUUUUGAGCUGGCAGGAUUUUGAGGGACUCCUUGACCUGCCCUCUGUCUUUUGGCUCCUGUAACAGGAUAAGAAUCUUUGUGACAUUACGGAAAUUGUUUGGGUUUUUUUCAAAACAAAAUGUUUGUUUCCCCCUUACUUUUUUCCUGCGUCUUUAGUUCAGCUGCAACUGCAACAGUUGGCUUGGUUGAACGACAGAAAUUUGAUGGGCAACAUUCAGCUAUAACUUGAUAACUUUGAAUUCUGGCUUGUUGGUCUGAUGAAAAAUUAAAUAAAGUGUAGAUAACAGUUUUAGAGACUUUUACAGUUUAGGCAUUUUUUUUCAUGUUUUCAUAAACUUGAGAUGAGAAAAUAAUCAAUAGACCCACCCAUUAAUAAUGACUUUUAUUUUUUUUCUGUGCCACAGCAGAAAAAGAAAGGCAUUAUAUAAUGAAUUCAUUUUAUUGCACCAUCCUUGUCCCCUCUUUUAUAUGUGACUAUUUUUGUUCAAGCACUCUUUAUCAUUACUGUCUCUAUGUGUUCUAUUUGUUCAUGUCUGCUUUACCUUCCUGUAUUAGAGUCCUUGUGUGUCCAAACAUACUUGGCCAAUAAAGUUGAUUAAAAAUGUUUUUAUUCUAUUCUAUGAAAAAGUAUAUACUUAAUUUAGUUUUUGUUAUUUUUAAAAAAUGAUCAUGCCUUACUGUGUGUACGUUAGACAUUCAUAAUGUGUGAGGUCCAGGAAAUUGUGUUACCUUCUAAACUAUUUAAUGAAUACCAUUAAGUGUUUGUUCAGUUUACAAAAUUACUGUCUGCAUGAUGUGAUGCUCAUAAUAUCUGACAUAAGACUACUAUAUGCUCACACAAUGUCAAACCAGUUGUGAGCCAAGCUUCAUUGCUCAUUUCCUGCUUUUAUUUCAGCACCAGGUUGUAAUAUCCAUGAGCCGUUGUGACCUGUCCAACGAGCUCACAUCAGGAGUCACCAUCAACUUACGUCUUUGGUAAUUUGUUACUUUUUCCUCUUUCUUUUGCUUUUGGCUCUGUUGUUUCAAUAUUUUCAAAUUGAGAUUUCAAAAUGUUGCAUAUUGUCAGUGUUUCAAAUGUCAUAUUCAAAUAAAUUUUUGUUUUUGUCAAUCCAGUGUGUGUGAAAUUUGGCAGUGUUUUGCUCUGAUGACUGGUGGUCAUAUUUUACAACAUGACUGAUGAUUACACAAUUUUUAAUAUUUCAUAAUGAAUGUGGCAGCGAUGUGAGAGCACAGUGAACAGUAGGUGCAGUGUGAGACAGAGAAGUCCUACAGUUGUGUCUAAAUAAAGUCUCACUGCUGUCAUUUCACAUGAUUAUCAGUUCUUUCCACUGCUGUGCUUAUAAAUAGGAGCUCCAAAUGAAUGGUGAAAUUUUGCCGUUUGGCAUGUUUUACAUUUUAUCUUUGGCGGUAUCAUUUAUGUCUUUUCAAAAGCUUGAAUCUGUUUCAACAAGAUUAAAUCCUUGGCUGAUGAUGUGUGUUUCUGCGGAGCUGCCAAGAUGUAUUACAACCCCCUCCUCUGCUGACAUUAUCCAUGGAGCAGUAAAUGGACCUAGAUAAAGACAUUCAAAAAGACGACUGACAAGCAAGUUCUCAGAAGUCAGAAAUUGGAUGUGAGAAUUUGUGUAUGGUUAUUUGUUAAAUGGGUCAAAAUACCACAUUAAUACAUUAUUAAUUCAUGUUUGUCAUGGCAAUUGCCUGCAUAAAUACUGUAAAUAAUUAAUUAGUAAUGCAAAUAUCUAUUAUUAAAAGUUUACAAAUGUUCAUAGAUUCUGUUUAAAAAUCAAUCUGCUGUUUUUCAUGAGUUCACACUUGUUUUGACAAAUGAAGCGAGUGUGAACACAGCGAGUUUGCUCUGUUAAGUUACUGUUCUACAGUAUAUGUCCUGAUACUGCUCAGGCCGCUUUGUCUUGCUCUCACUUACAGCUUAUUAGAACAGGUCAGGACGUGUCAGAAAGGUCCAGGAACAUGAGAUGGAUAGGACACAGAAGCAAGCUUCGUCUGCCCAUAUACACGUACACACACAGGGUAUCCUGACCAGGACAUACAUCUGUACGUGUGAAAGCUCACUCACUGACAUCUAGUCAUAGAAAUGCAACUUAUUUCUCGAUGUGGCUCUAAUGAUGAGAUACUGAUAUAUCAUUAAAAAGAAAAGAUUUUAAUGCAAAUAAAUCAUUUCUUAAAAUGC